CAUCAGCUGCCAGACGGGCAUUGUCGAUCUGCAGCAGGAUGCUGGCAUUGUCCACAGUGGCCACAAGGAUCUGGGGAGACACAGAUCAUCAGGUCAUUGAGUUUAGGGUGGCU
rnacentral:miRNA from 1 species